UACGUAGGGGGCAAGCGUUGUCCGGAAUCAUUGGGCGUAAAGCGCACGUAGGCGGAUUGCUAAGUCAGGGGUGAAAUCCUGGAGCUCAACUCCAGAACUGCCUUUGAUACUGGUGAUCUUGAGUCCGGGAGAGGUGAGUGGAACUGCGAGUGUAGAGGUGAAAUUCGUAGAUAUUCGCAAGAACACCAGUGGCGAAGGCGGCUCACUGGCCCGAUACUGACGCUGAGGCACGAAAGCGUGGGGAGCAAACAGG
rnacentral:rRNA from 1 species